CAAGGCUCAUACCUUGUGUCGUCACUCAACUAUUUCUAAACUGAUGUUAUUGCCAACAAUUGCCAUUUCCGAGAACCAACGGAAAUAGUCGAGGCAAAUUACCCGGUAGUUCUACUUUUGGUUUGACUUUUAUACCCGGAAGUGCCGUCUCAGUGCGAUGGAUACAGAUCAACUCUACAGAGACAAACUGAUCACAGUACUCGACAGUGUCCGAAUCCACAAUAUAACAACGAACUUGAUGAUUUGGAAGAGUUACAAAUGGACUACAGUCUUGUCGUGAGACCGUGAAUAUUUAAAGCACUGUGACUGAGUCUGACAGUGAGGACGAUGAGGUUGAUGACGAAGAUGGGAUCACUGUUGACUUCAGAAGUAUGACGGCUAGCGGUAAAGGGAGACAAUUCACCGUGCGGCGUCUCGGUACAGCAUCCCAUGUGUCAUUGUCCCAGCACAUAGUGAAGAGUUUCAUGGGUCAGGUGACCAGAUGGACCUGGUACUGGUUUGAUAAAGAAUUACAACAGUGGAGGCAGUAUGGGAAUGUGGGAUCAGGAGGUCAAAGACCGGACACUGAUAGUGACUUCAUCGAGCGAGCAUUUGGUCGAGAUAAAAACAGUUUCGUUGACUUCAGAGUUGGAACCAACAUCUUCAGACUUCGAUUUUCCAAGUUUCAACAAAAGAACAGACAAACAGGAACACGAAAACAAGUUCGACGGAGGCCCACCUACAUGAGAUUUUGAUAUGUUUUGUGUGCGUUUGUUGUUAAGCAGUUUGUU